rnacentral:rRNA from 1 species
CAAACCAAAAGCUGGCGACCGGCGCACGGGUGAGUAACACGUAUCCAACCUGCCUCAUACUCGGGGAUAGCCUUUCGAAAGAAAGAUUAAUAUCCGAUAGCAUAUAUUUCCCGCAUGGGUUUUAUAUUAAAGAAAUUCGGUAUGAGAUGGGGAUGCGUUCCAUUAGUUUGUUGGGGGGUAACGGCCCACCAAGACUACGAUGGAUAGGGGUUCUGAGAGGAAGGUCCCCCACAUUGGAACUGAGACACGGUCCAA